UGAAUAGAGGCAGUGCAACAUUAAGGAUAUCAGCAUCUCCUGACAAAUGGCAGAGAGGACAUUUUUAGGGAUAAACCAGCAAUCCCAUAGAUCGAGAAAAUCCGCACUUCACCACUGAUUGAAGCACCUUGCAUCCAAAAAUAUCCUCAGAAUCCUGUAUGUUUAAUCUGUAAUGGUGAAAAGGUAUGCAUCGAAUGACAGCUUUGUAAAUAUGUGCUUGAGAAGCAAAAACUGUUGAUGCCCAACAGAUAGAAACUGCUCUGGUUAAAUGAGCUUUAAGAUGCAGAGGAGGAGGCAGGUUUUAGGCACUGUAGGUCAGUGACAUUGCUUCGUUAAUCUAUCUGGAUCCAUUGGAAACCAUACAUUCUUUUUU